UUUAUAACACGGAUGUGACUGUACCUUACUGCUUAUCUAAAGAUCAAAACCAAAUGUAAACAAGGGUAAGAACAGAUGACAUAUUUCAGCAGGAACUGAAGAUUUGCUCGUCAUGGCAAGCUUAGAAUUUCCUUAUAGCUUCAUUCUUCCUGCUCGUGAAUAACUUAUUUCUGAGCUUUCCUCAGGUUUAUAUCCUUCUGUGCACAAGAAUGUGUGAUGUAAGAAAUUAACUAGACUAUAUUUCUUACAAACCCUUUUGCUUUAAAAAACCUGAAACUUGCUCAGCUUAUAUUGCUUCUAGAAGGAAAUAAUAAACAGUUAAGCAAAAUAUUUGAAAAACUAUAUGUGAAUCUUACAAAAAAGUAAUUUGAAGAGUUGAGACAGGUCUGUAUUGUCAUCAACCGCUAUAGAAAAACCUCCAAAGAGAGAAGUUUGUCCUUUGGCCAGAUGUGAAAUUACACCAUCAAUUUUUAUGUAAGCCUUUACACUGUAGUGUAAUUCAAGCUCAUAAAAACAGAGCCUGAUAAACACAUUCAUUCUACCUUUGGUUUCUUUGUGAAAUUACUUCCUUCUCUCCUCUGCUUAGGACGAAUGCAGUGAAAGACAGAAAAACAGAAAAAAGAACCCAACAGCAUUAAUGAAUGAGAUGUAGAGGCAACUGAAAGAGCACUGGUCAUCCAUUCAGUGAAUACAAUGGGAUAUAGGACCGUCAUGAGGAAGGAUUCAUGUAUUACAUUGUAUAUACAUAUACAUAUAUAUACAUUUCAGAUUACACCACUCUGUAUAUUAUUCUCCACUGAUGAUGAGGACAGGAACAGCAAGUAGUUUGCACCUUCAAAAUGAAGCAAUGGAUUUUCCCAUGAGAAGACAAGAGUGGAUCACCUGUAGGCUACUGUGCGUAUAUUUAUUUCAGCUGACUCGCAAAAAUCUUUUCCAUUGACAUCAGCACUUGUACUACUAUCCUGAGGUAAUAUGCCUGCAAAUGUAGGUUCUCUGGUGUUAAAAUACUUACAGGUAUGAAGAAAAACUGUGGGUGAGAUCAUUGGCUGGCAAAAAGCAAGAAUCUGAAAACACAAAGGAGAAAAUAUUCUUGAUGUAUUUUUAACAACAGAAAAAAAGAGCUUAAAUGUUUGCAGCACAGUCAUUAGUUAGUUACAUUGAUGAAAUCAUAUGCAUGUUAAAAUUCAUCAUCAAUAAAUUACUUUUUGUGAAAAAAGACUCAAGAACACCUCAAUUUACUGAGGCUUUAAAUUGGAUAAGUCAACAAGGGUAACACCUUACCACCCAUUUACAAUUCCUCCAUUUCAUCCCACCAUUAAACUCUGAACACAGGGCUGCCUAAGGGUGAUCACAUGUUUUAAAACAAGUUUCCGUAUAUAUUUUUUUUUUUACCACAGUCAAGCAAAGGUUUUAGCCAAACAUGUAAAUGCAAGAACCUACCUAAACGAGAUACUGGUCACUCAAAGUCAGUGAGCUGGCUUUACUUUCUGGUCUUGCAUAUUGUGGCAAUUUACCUAUAAGUACGAGCCAUAACAGUAGCACCUAUACUGCAUUGUGACUCCUGUUUUCAUUUCCCAUUGACUGCCUAUCUUUUACUUAUGCUAUUAGGAAGUAAACCUGAAAAGGACCGUAGAUGACAUGCUAUUUGCCAUUAAGGUCCAUUAUAGGGGAAAAAAAGACAAUGCCCUAACUAAGGCAGUCAGGAAAGUCCUUUUCUCUAGUUCCUAUACAGAAAAAGUAGGUUCUUAAAAUGUUGAUUCAAAUUAGAUGGCCUGAAAACUUGCCAUAGCUGUUAUAGGUCUUUUGCCUAAUGGAACAGUAUUUUCCCUCACAGCAUUAACAACCCCAUCUUCAGGGACUAACAUAUUUGCUGCCAUUUUGCACGAAGCACUGCACCUCAGGGUGCCUCUCUCUGGAAUGAGAUAUUUGCUGAUACAUUUUAACUAAAUAAAAGAGGUUUCCCUACGUACACUAUUUCUGUUCAUGUGGAUGGCACAUUGUGCUAAUGCUGGCACUGUCAAUCCAUGGUUUCUACCAGAACAGAGAGUGUGACAAACUUGGCUUGCAGCUGGAGCCUGCCUUAUAGUUUCUUGAGAAUAGCCACUCUCCAUCACUAUAUCCUUCAUUUAAUUGGUGUUGCCUUGCCAAAAACUUCUAUUUUUCCCUAAUCCUUUCUAUUAAAACCAAAGAUUGACAUUUAUUGGGGCUUCAGCUCAAAAGGGAGUUGAAUGUGUACAACUGAAGCAUCAACAGCUGAUUUAAUUUUUAAAUUAUUUUUAAAAGAUGCUUGUGAUGCUGGUGGGGAAGGGCAGAGACUGGUAGAGUAUCAUAAACAUUUGGUGAUAAGAGGAGAACUCUAAUCACCCAACAUAGUCCUUUUCCCUGGUGGGCAAAAUACCUUGGCUGUUGUUUUGCUAUUCUGAAUAUACUGAGAUUAUUGACUAAACAAUUCAGAAGGUGUUUUCUAAAGCAUACAAGCAUCAGUUACUGACUUUUCGUCAACACUCCAACAAAACUGAGUAUUAACAACUUUUAUUUAAAGUUUCAGAAAGGGGGGAAAAAUCCAUAUAGCUUCAGCAUGCAGCAAAAGAUCAUGCUGACUACAAACCCGACCUUCUGCACUGUGUCAGUUAACAAGAACACACAACUCUAAGUAGUUGCUUAUUUGCUCAGUGCUUUGACGUGAAUGACUUGACAGCUGUAGAAGUUUAGUGAACGGCUUGGCUUCUCAGCCUCCAACUCCCAGCACAAAAAGAAAGAUUAAAAAAUCCCCAUCCAACCCAAGAGCCAUGUGGAAAUGGAUCACUUCACUAACCUAAACACCUCUUUCAAUAAGAAAGAAACUAAAGCUAUUUAUUAUUUGCUAAAUCUCUACAUGCCUAGAAAUAUUUAACAUAAGCUUUUGAAAGAAAUCUAGAUGGGACUUUUCCAGGUUUUCUUGAUUCAAUAAGAAAGCUGAACCUGGCCCAAAGAAAUAAGGAAUGGUCAACAUAGACUUGUGAUCCUAAAGAGAAGUAUAUUUAUUAGAAAGCCAAGCUUAAACAUUAAAUAGAGAAAGCACUGCUGGGCUAGAAGGGUGCUAGUUUAGGGAUAGGUCACCUACAGUUCAAGAAGUAUUAAUACAUGCAGAUUUGUUACCAGACAGUUUGUUCUUCAUAUGCACUCUCAACAAAUAAUGGAAUAGUGCCUAGAAAAUGACAGUGCCUUUUCAUCUCUAAAGUAGGAGGCAGAGAACAUUGCCUUAAUCUCUAAUACAAUCUCAAGCUGACAGACAGAAGCUACCCCUGUUGUCUCCUGCUUUGACUUUUCUAUAAUUAGCUUUGAACUGGAGACGGAGUAAAGGAAACCAAGAGGGUCUUAGUCAUGGUUAAAACUUGUUCAUUUUCAACUUGGACCAAAACUACCAUCUUUUUUUUCAUGCCACUCCCUGAAAAUCCAUUGUGUUCAAUUUUUCAUAACCAUACCAGAAUCACGUUUUGUUAUUUAUUUGUCUAAUCCUCUCAGUCUUCCUAUUACACAUCUGGGUAGAUGCGGAUAAUCCCAGAAAUGAAAUAUAUUUUCACAGUCUUUCUCAACCAGCAUCAUGGAACAUACUAAUUAGAAAUCAGACAAUUUCUAUUAGAAAAGCAAGCCUUUUUUCCUACAGAAAAACAACUUAUUAGUGUCUUGGAAAA